GACAGAGGGUGCAAACGUUGUUCGGAAUUAUUGGGCGUAAAGAGCUCGUAGGCGGCCAGUUGCGUCUGCUGUGAAAUCCCGGGGCUCAACCCCGGGCGUGCAGUGGAUACGGGCUGGCUAGAGGCAGGCAGGGGAGAACGGAAUUCCCGGUGUAGCGGUGAAAUGCGCAGAUAUCGGGAGGAACACCGGUGGCGAAGGCGGUUCUCUGGGCCUGUACUGACGCUGAGGAGCGAAAGCGUGGGGAGCGAACAGGG
rnacentral:rRNA from 1 species